UACAGAGGGUGCGAGCGUUAAUCGGAGUUACUGGGCGUAAAGGGCAUGCAGGCGGUCGGACGCGUUUCGGGUGACAGCGGGUGGCUUAACUACCCGAGUGGUCGAAAGACGGUUUGACUUGAGGACGCGAGAGGGACACGGAAUUCCGGGUGGAGUGGUGAAAUGCGUAGAGAUCCGGAGGAACACCGAAGGCGAAGGCAGUGUCCUGGCGCGUGACUGACGCUGAGGUGCGAAAGCCAGGGGAGCGAACGGG
rnacentral:rRNA from 1 species